UACGUAGGGUGCAAGCGUUAUCCGGAAUUAUUGGGCGUAAAGAGCUCGUAGGCGGUUUGUCGCGUCUGCUGUGAAAACUGGGGGCUCAACCCCCAGCCUGCAGUGGGUACGGGCAGGCUAGAGUUCGGUAGGGGAGACUGGAAUUCCUGGUGUAGCGGUGAAAUGCGCAGAUAUCAGGAGGAACACCGGUGGCGAAGGCGGGUCUCUGGGCCGAUACUGACGCUGAGGAGCGAAAGCGUGGGGAGCGAACAGG
rnacentral:rRNA from 1 species